GCUUGUCUCAAGAUUAAGCCAUGCAUGUCUAAGUAUAAAUAACUACACAGUAAAACUGCGAAUGGCUCAUUAAAACAGUUAUAGUUUAUUUGAUACAUUUUAAAUGGAUAACUGUAGAAACACUAGAGCUAAUACAUGCUAAGACCGUAAGGUUGUAUUUAUUAGAUAUACCGAGUAGGUGAAUCAUAGUAACUAAUCGGAUCGCAUGGGCUUUGCCCGCGACAAACCAUUCAAGUUUCUGCCCCAUCAGCUUUCGAUGGUAGUGUAUUGGACUACCAUGGCUAUUACGGGUAACGGAGGAUUAGGGUUCGAUUCCGGAGAGGGAGCCUGAGAAACGGCUACCACAUCUAAGGAAGGCAGCAGG
rnacentral:rRNA from 1 species